rnacentral:tRNA from 1 species
AGGGCUGCAGCUCAGUGGAACAGCCUCCACUUUGCGUGUAGAAGGUCCCAAGUUCAAUUCCUGGCACCUCUA